UUCUAUACAUAAUUUACUUGUGUUUUGUUGAGAAUUUAUGUGAUUUUUAAUAUUAUUAUUUUAAUGUAGACUGCAGAAGAAAUCUUAGUAGAUGAUAGAUGCCGAAUAAAUCAUUUGGCCACAAGCAUUGUUGCACUGUCACAGGGAGUGCCAUUUUUUCAUUCUGGUGAUGAGAUACUGCGUUCCAAGUCACUUGACCGCGACUCUUAUAACUCAGGCGAUUGGUUCAAUAGGCUUGAUUUCAGUUAUGAGACGAACAAUUGGGGUGUCGGCCUACCUCCGAGAGAAAAGAAUGAAAAGAACUGGCCAUUGUAAGCAUGAA